AUUGAACGCUGGCGGCAGGCCUAACACAUGCAAGUCGAGCGGAUGAAGGGAGCUUGCUCCUGGAUUCCGCGGCGGACGGGUGAGUAAUGCCUAGGAAUCUGCCUGGUAGUGGGGGAUAACGUCCGGAAACGGGCGCUAAUACCACAUACGUCCUGAGGGAGAAGGUGGGGGGUCUUCGGACCUCACGCUAUCAGAUGAGCCUAGGUCGGAUUAGCUAGUUGGUGGGGUAAAGGCCUACCAAGUCGACGAUCCGUAGCUGGUCUGAGAGGAUGAUCAGUCACACUGGAACUGGGACACGGUCCAGACUACUACGGGAGGCAGCAGUGGGGAAUAUUGGACAAUGGGCGAAAGCCUGACCCAGCCAUGCCGCGUGUGUGAAGAAGGUCUUCGGAUUGUAAAGCACUUUAAGUUGGGAGGAAGGGCAGUAAGUUAAUACCUUGCUGUCUUGACGUUACCAACAGAAUAAGCACCGGCUAACUUCGUG
rnacentral:rRNA from 1 species